AACACAAAAUUCCUCAUUACCUACCAUCUUUUUCGUGUGCUGUUUUGGGAAAGAAUAAAAUUCAACACAAUUGAUGAAUACCAUCAUAUAAUUAGGUGUACGUCCUCGUUUUUUAAUAACUACAUCAAGUAAAAGUGCCAAGUAUUUUUUUUCAGAGAAGAAAUAACUUACAAAUUUCUUCAUGUAAAGAUCUGCGUCUCGCAAAUAUGGCCGAUCUGUAAUGAUUUGGUAGGCAGUGAUUUUAGUAUGUAUCGUAGUACGCAAAGCAUGAAAAUGGAGCUACGUGUUGGUAACAAAUAUAGAUUGGGACGUAAAAUUGGGUCUGGAUCUUUUGGAGACAUUUAUUUGGGCACAAAUAUUGUAACCCGAGAGGAAGUUGCUAUCAAACUAGAAUGCAUAAAAACAAGACAUCCACAGCUGCAUAUAGAAAGCAAAUUUUACAAACUUAUGAGAGGAGGCAUUGGAAUACCUACUAUAAAAUGGUGUGGUUCUGAAGGAGAUUACAAUGUCAUGGUAAUGGAACUAUUGGGUCCUUCAUUAGAGGAUCUAUUUAAUUUUUGUUCCCGUCGAUUUUCUCUUAAGACAGUUCUUCUGCUUGCUGAUCAACUAAUUACCCGCAUUGAAGACAUUCACUACAGAAAUUUUAUUCACAGAGAUAUCAAACCAGACAAUUUCUUAAUGGGUCUAGGCAAAAAGGGGAACCUUGUGUACAUAAUAGACUUUGGACUAGCUAAGAGGUAUAAGGACCCUCGCAAUAAUCAGCAUAUUCCAUACAGAGAAAACAAAAAUUUGACCGGUACGGCUAGAUACGCGUCAAUUAAUACUCACCUAGGUAUUGAACAAUCUCGACGAGAUGAUCUGGAGUCGCUAGGAUAUGUUCUCAUGUACUUUAACCGGGGGAGCUUGCCGUGGCAAGGCCUCAAAGCGGCGACCAAACGACAGAAGUAUGAGAGGAUAUCAGAAAAGAAACUUUCCACUCCAUUUGACGAAUUAUGCAAGAAUCAUCCGAUCGAGUUCCAGUUGUACCUGAAGUACUGCAGACGACUUCGUUUUGAAGAAAGACCGGACUAUGGUCACCUGCGUCAACUGUUCCGCACCCUCUUCCACAGGCAGGGGUUCACAUAUGACUACGUUUUUGACUGGAAUAUGCUGAAAUUCGGUGUCCCCCAUGUGUCCGUAGCGGCGGGCGCCAAGGAGCGAGCACAAAGACGACAUGAUCAAAUUCCUGAGCCAGAGAACAAUGUGCCAGGGACCGCGCGGCCAGUGGACGACUCGAAGGCAGUGGAGUAUUAGCAGCAGUGAGACAUGACUUACCUACUUCUUCUCCCCCGCUCGCCUCCGGCUCAGUCACCGUAACGGCCACGGCAGCGACAGGCGCUGUGGGGUGCGCCCCGGGGCAACCUAGCACUACGGUGGCCGCCGCCGCCGAGUGGCGGUGAGGCCGCUCGCUGAAGAGGCCGCGACACCACGCGCCCGCGUCGCCUCUCCUGACCUCACCAACCGGACCACAACUAGGAGACAGGAAGCAUUCAGUGAAGUUAUUAUUUUAAAAUUAUAUUAUCAAAACAAAAUGAGAAGUAGAGGUGAGCUAUCACUCGUAAACCGGACCACAGAAGUAAUGUGUUAUUUGUGAACAAUUUCCAUAUUAUUUUCAUUGAGUGUCAUUGAUACAUGAACGAUUGGGUGACAUGGUCGACUAAUGUGUGUGGCGUUGUUAAUCUAUUGUAAUAUUGGCAUUCACCAGUCAAUACUGUAAAUGAUUAUAGACUUAAACUGGACCUGAGUUGCCCCAUUAAGUCUCAUUUAUUUUAAGUGAGUCCGUACCAGUUGAUUGCCGCUUGCUGGCCGAUAUUAAACCAGGGUGACUUAUCACUAAUUGGAACACCCUUUAAUUUACCAGCUUGUAUUGCAAUUUAUGCUCAGUUGUAUUUAGAUGUAAUAUAUGAAAUGAAUCCAUGUUGGAUGGAGUUAAUGUGUGAGUUUGGUUGUCUCAUCUCCUAAGUUAACAAUAUUAAUAUAGGUUCGAUGUGGAAUACAUUAUAUAAUAUUAUCAAUUUUGUUAGUUAUUUUAUUUAUGCAUUUAUGAUAAUAAUACCUAAGACGAUUUUUAUUAGUUUGAUUGGAUUCAUUGUAUGUUAUUCAACUCUCGGUUAACAUAACCCGUAACAUGAAUUUUGAACAUGUAUUAUUGAUAACUGAUUAUUGUAUGUGCAAUAAAAUUGUGUUUUUUUCUAACUUGUCUUCCAUUUUCUAUGCAACAUGCUCUUUCUUGUUGCCAAACUGAUUCAUUUUAUAUCUUUCUUUUUUUUUAUUAAGGCACUGCCAUAAGCUAUUUUCAACUUACGUUGAAAUGGUCGUCAUAGUUUUAAAUAUUUCUUCUAUAUCAUUUUUGAUGAAUGGUAACGAUUUUACCAUAAUUAUUAGGAAAUAUUCUGGAUAAUCAUAUUAAAAAUAAUACACUUAACAACUUGCAACAACCUGUUUUAAUUAUUAUUUUAAAUAAGUAUUUUGUUAUUGCUCAUAACAAAAAGAUAUUACAUCUCUCCUCACCACAACAACAUAAUAAUAUUGAAUUUUCUCAAGUCUAUGAAAAACUAAUUAAAACAGUUUUUAACUAUCAUGGUCUUGUUUAUAAUAUUGUAAUAUUUGAUACCCGAAUUAUUGCUUUGAUACAUACCAAUAUGUAUAUUAUUCAUUUUUUUAAUGUUAUCAUCAAUCUCUAAUAUGACUGAGAAUAGGUUCCAUUUAAUUGUAAAUAUAACUUAGGUAGGUACUGAUAGUUAUAUUGUAUUGUUAUGCUAUAUUAGAUAAUGUUAUGAGAAUGGAUGGGUUACUUGACUAGAUGACUAGAGAAGUUGAUAUUCAGCGGGCUCAAGAGAUGCUGCCGCCCGCUGUCCUAUGAGAUCAUGUUGGUAUGGCAUCCAUUACUAAAUGCUCCACUUUUCAUUCGCCUAUUGCAGGGUUACCCUCUUUUUAGGAUUUUGAAACUAUACAGCGAUAUUCCAUAAGGUUUUUAGUUUGUAAUAUUGAUGUCUAGUUGAUAGUUUUGGAUCUAACACAUCGAAAUGUUUAUUAAUUAAUGAAGGUGUUAUUAUUUUGUGCUUAAAAAAUCUUGCAUAACCUGAUAUUGUAGUAUACAUGUUAUUUGUCAAGGGGCUAUGUUAGUGGUACAAACAUAAAUUGGUUUUCAUAUAUGGUUUCUGUAUUGUAGCAUCGACAAAAUUGAUUCGUGAUCCACCUUGAUGAUAAUUCUUUUAAAAUUUUAUAAAUAGAUUUAUAUUGUAUAUGAAAAAGAUUGUAUGACAAUUGGUGGGACUGUCAGUGUCUCAUAAAAUGAUAACAUUGAUUAUAAUGAGGGAAGGACAUUAAGGUGGGUCACUAUUCUAUUUUGUUGAUAGUAUAUACUGGUAUUAACACUCUUACUGGUUACACAUUUUUUUAUUACACCUCCAGUUUACCCUCUAAAAUAUCAAACCAUGUCAAUCAAAAGUAAGGGUAUGUUCCCAUAUGCCCUGCGACCACUGUACAGUGUGACGUCAAUUUAGUAUACUGUGAAGCCGUUCCUUUAUAGCCAUUCUGGUUACUAAUUACUAUUUAAAACGGAACGUAAUCCCGUAUACCGUCAGCCGCAUUUUUUGACGCAGCAUUCAAAUGAGUGUAUUAAAAUUUUCUAGUUCAUUAAAAAAAAACUUUUGUUGGAGUACUGUCAUAUUAAAAAUAUUUGAAAUUGAACUGUAGGUAUUGUUUAUAAAACGUUAGGCACUCGAGUGGUUUUGACUUAUCACGUGAUCAAAGUACUGCGAGUACCUUACCUCGAAAACGCCAGUGCUCACAGUAGAAUAUGGCGGCGAUAUAUGACGUCAUAUAUUUCCCUAGGAUACUGCGGCAGUAUAAUGGCAGUUCAUAACGGAACGAAUUUUUCUACAGUGAUAGCAAUGUGCAGUGCUCGCAAUGCAUAUCGGAACACACCCUAAAUACCUUGUGUCAAAUCAUAGGAUUGAAACAGCAUAGGCGCCAGAUAAGUUAGGGUCACUAUACUUUUAUUGUAAAAGAUACUAACUACACCUACAAAGAAAUAGUACAAUACUCUUUUUUAGAGCACGAUUGAUUGAAUCCUACCUCCUCACAGUUCGGCUACGUCGAUCUCCCGCUGAGAAUAUAUUCAAAAACCUUGGCUAUGUUUCUUUCUCUUCUCAUAGUGUCAUGUGUCAGAUCCUUAUCAUUGUCCGUGGACCUUUAACUCCCACAUAGGUUUUAGCUGGUCGAAUGAAGCCUCAGGUGGUUAUUCUUGUGAUGUCUUCUUCACCAUGGCUGAUGAUAGACCCGAGGGUUUCGUUUAGGUAAUGCUUUGGACGUCUGGGAAUUUUAAAACCUCAUCUUUUAGAAAUUUUUUCAAAUCAACACAAACUCCGUGCGUAAUUACAUCAUCCUGUAAGUUCCAAGGCAUGAGCGAGCGCGGCAUAUCGCCACCAUAAAAUAGUAAUAGGACAGUACCUUAAUUUCAUACUAGAGCGAUCGAAUCGCACGCACACAUACCUCAUACCUACACACGAUUUACACCGCCGCUAAGCGAUCUUGGGAAGACAAAACUAUUGCGUGCCACGACGUACGCAUCCGAGACUGCUCGAAUUAGCUGCGCCGCGCCGUCAUACUUUUUGUAUGUAGCAACCCUAGCGGUCCGCCCAGACGUCGGUAUAAAUUUCAACGGGACCGCUGAGUUACGCUUCUGUUAUAUAACUUGUAUUGUGUUGGCACUUCUAAUCCCUAUUGCCGCCAAGGCUACGGACGGUCGCGUUUCGUAUAUCAGGUACUUAUGUGUAGGGUGCAUAAUGCGUUUGUAAGUAAUGUUGGAAGUGGGUAUUUAUUGAUUAAUGUUCAAUAAUUUUUAAGAUCAAAAAAAUAAUAUCCACUUCAAUAUUAUGUGCCAAUAUAACUGUUGGAAUUUCAGAUAUACCUUCGAACCACAUAUCUAGCUUUAAAUUAUUUUAUAUUCAAAUAAAAACGUGAAUAUUGUUUUACUAACUCUUAUACGGUACCUAUUUGUUUACGUUAGUUGAGGUAAGUUAAUGCGUCCUUUGUAACCGGAUGUAAAUAUUAUAUGGACUGAGGUGUCGUCAUCUGAAGGCUACGAAUAAUAAUAAAUCCUUGGUGCGAAUUUAAAGAAUAGAUAUUAUAUAGUAUAUGUUGAAGAUUUGCGCUCACACAAAGUUCACUUAGUUAUACUUUUCUUAUACAUAGAACUAAGGAAUAGAGUGUGAAGUUGUCUGCAUUUUUUACCACCACCAAAAUGUUCAAGUUGUACUGUUAAAAACUAGAAUACCUUAAGCGUGGUGGCCUAUAUUAAACUGACACAGGCGAAAUUGUGAUGGCCCUUCCGCAGAAGACACUAGAAAGAAUAGAAUAGUGCUAAAAUACAAAAUGAACUUAAUUUUAGCGUUUAUAUUAAGCGAAACCAACACGUAAUAACUUAUAAUGGGCCCACAAUAGAAAGAAUGCGUUAAAAGGCGUUAAGCGUAUUUGUAUAUUUUUUUAACGAAAUUCAUUCCGGAGUUAAACAAUUGUAUGGCCACAGACAAGGGCGUAGCAAUAUACGGGCACGAGGAAUCGCUGCCCUUCCCUAAAUAAUGCAGGACUGCUCACAAACUGUAAAGUAAUAUUACCAAAGGAUCCUAUUAAUAAACAAAAACAAAGUUGAUUUGUUUUUUACCUCAGAUAGGUAUAUUCUUGGUUUGUCUACGCCUAUCAAAAUCCUAGCUACGCCCUUGACCACAGAUUAACACGGUUAUUCGCGUUACUGGCCUAUUAGGCCCCAGCGUUACUUCGAUAAUAUUCUUAUUCGUAGUGUAAGUUUGUCAAAUCGUAGGCUAUAUGGACCGUGUUCGUAGCUGAUAACUUUCUGCGCGUCAUGUUGUAAAUUCGGCUCUAACAAACGAAUUGCUAGCGUGAUGAUUCUGUAAAUAUUACUCUGUAAGCUAGUUAAGUGAUCACACAGUUUUUUACAAUAUCAAUAUAUAUAAUAGGUAACAUAAAAAUAAUACUUAACUGUUGUAGUGGUUGCCGAGUUAUUUUUUAUUUAAUGUCAACAUUAAUUAUUUGUCUCCGUGCGAUGUGUUAAGCAUAAUAAUAUCUUAAUCUUGGAUCAGUAUGGCCUGUGUAAGGUGUUGUAAAAUAUAUAUACAAUAUGUCGGGGUACAAUUUCUAACUUUAGUGUUAUAUAGAAUUAAUAAAUUUUCGAUGUUAAACUCAGUGAAAUAAUAGCGUCGGCAUAUCUGUGAGGUUAUUGUUCAACGUGCCCUCAAAUAUGUCCUGAAAGUUGAUUUGUUUCUUUACGCAUUCAGUGUUAUCAAACGAGUAUUUCGUGUGUGAUGAGCCUAAUUUUGUACGGAAGAAAGUGUUGCGUAUGGUAGAGGUAAUAUGCGAAUAUGAUUGUGCUUCGAUUAUUAUUAUUAUGCUUGCAUUGUUUCAACGUCCAGUAUGUAUUGAUUCCUUUGGCACAAUAAAAUGAGAAAAACUA